ensembl:lncRNA
AUACACACACACACACACACACACAGACAUACAAACAUACACACACACAGACACACACACGCACACACAGACAUACAAACAUACACACACACAGACACACACACACACACACACACACACACAGACAUACAAACAUACACACACACAGACACACACACAUACACACAGACACACAAACAUACAUGCACACACACACACAGACACACACGCACACACAGACACACACACACACACACACAGACAUACAAACAUACACAGACACACACACACACAUACAUACAAACAUACACACACACAGAUAUACAAACAUACACGCACACACACACAGACACACACACACACACGGACACACAGACAUACAAACAUACACACAUACAGACACACACAGACACAUACACACACACGCACACACAGACACACACACAUACAGACACACACACACACAGAAACACACACAGACACACACAGACAUACAAACAUACACACACACACACAAAUACACACACACAGACAUACACACACACAAAUACACACACAGACACACACACAAAGACAUACAAACAUACACACACAAAUAUGCGCACACACACACAGAAACACACACAGACACAUAAACCCACACAAACACAGAAACACACACAUGAACAUACACACAAAUAUACACACACACACAAAUAUACACACAGAAACACACACAGACACAUAAACCCAUACAGACACACAAACACACACAUGAACAUACACACAAACAUACAUACACACAAAUAUACACACACACACACAGAAACCCACACAGACACAGAAACCCACACAGACACACAAACACACACACAUACAUGCCCUUCCUCUCUCAUGUGUCUGCAAGUUUCAGCUCAAAUGUCAGCUCAGUGUUCACUCUCUCCUUACCUUCUCCUCACUCUCCCCUCGUCCGUCUUCUUCUCUACAUUUCUCUCUUUGCUUUUCUCUUUUUCUACCUCACAUCCUUUAUUUCACACUGUUUCUCCUACUUUGCCGUCUUUACGUACUCCUGCAUUUCUCUCAUCCUGA